rnacentral:rRNA from 1 species
AUGGCGGAGGAACCAUCUGCCAAGCGUCCCCGUGGUGAGACGUCCGACAAGACCACCGAGGUCGAUGACGUUCAGGUCCCCGGUCAGAAGCUCGACUACACCAGGUACCUCAAGGAGGUUGACAUCCAUGGCAAGGAGAAGCUGGAUGUCGUAUGCACCAGCAAUCUAGAUGAAGCAGACAAGAUGAUCACCGGGAUCAGGAAGAGGGUCGGCGGCUUGUACCCUCGGUACAUCGGCGUUUAUGUGGAGUAUACUAGGGAAGACGAACCUCUGCAGAGGGCAGUAGUUCUACAGUUAUGCGUGGAGGAACUCUGCCUCGUAUACCACAUCACCGUGGCAACAAAAUGGUGA